CCAGUUCGGAUUGCAGGCUGCAACCCGCCUGUAUGAAGUUGGAAUCGCUAGUAAUCGCGGAUCAGCAUGCCGCGGUGAAUACGUUCCCGGGCCUUGUACACACCGCCCGUCACACCAUGAGAGUCGGGAACACCCGAAGUCCGUAGCCUAACCGCAAGGGGGGCGCGGCCGAAGGUGGGUUCGAUAAUUGGGGUGAAGUCGUAACAAGGUACC
rnacentral:rRNA from 1 species